rnacentral:rRNA from 1 species
UACGAAGGGGGCUAGCGUUGUUCGGAAUCACUGGGCGUAAAGCGCACGUAGGCGGAUUGUUAAGUCGGGGGUGAAAUCCUGAGGCUCAACCUCAGAACUGCCUUCGAUACUGGCAAUCUCGAGUCCGGAAGAGGUUGGUGGAACAGCUAGUGUAGAGGUGAAAUUCGUAGAUAUUAGCUAGAACACCAGUGGCGAAGGCGGCCAACUGGUCCGGAACUGACGCUGAGGUGCGAAAGCGUGGGGAGCAAACAGG